CGGGGCCCCGCCGCCAUCUCGGGGCGGGUCGGGUGCGCGGCUGCCCUUCGACGGCCCGUGUGAGGCGUCGAAGGGGAGCCGGGGGCCCGACAGCGCCGCUGCCACCGCCCCCCGAGCCCGGCCCCCGGCCCCGUUUGGGUGCUCCCGGGCCCCGCCUCAGCGCUGCCAGCCGGGCUCGGCACGGGCAGGGGAAGGCUGGCAGGGACGGGGGGACGCGCCCGUGUGGAAACCUGCCUGAAGUUAAAGAGCAGGAACGGCCUUUCUGUGGAGCUUUCUGUGCUCGCCUCGCCCCAGCUUGGCGGUGUAUCGGGCGGUGCACCCGCACCCGGCUCUUCCCCAGCCUCUCUUGGGGUUGUCUGUGAGGGGCCCGCUGAGGAGCGCUGUAUCUGGACUUAGCUGGGUAGGUAGUUCUCAGAGCUGACAGAUUUAUUACAAAAAAAAAAUCAUUUAUGAUGAACAGAAACGAUCACGAACUGCCAGAAAUCACCAGAGCUUUUGGUACAGUGUCUGGUGCAGGAACGAGAGCUGCCUCCCGGCCGGGCUCCCUGCUGCGCCCCGUCCCUACCGCAGGCCCUGGCAGACCGCAGAGGACCGCAGGCGCCCCGGACAAGUCCCGGCUACAAGUCCAGCACAGCCUCCUAAAGCUGCACCUGUGUGAACCAGCCCAGCCUCCAUUGCGCUGCACCUAGCACUUCCAAGUAUCGAUCGGUGUGAGUUUGCAUCAACUACCAUUCAUAAAGAAUGCUGUAAUUUCCAGGGCACGGGGGGAUAAAAAUAAAUCAAGAGAUGAAGCAACUUGUUUGAAGUCAAACAGGAAAUCUGGAGAAGAAGUGGAAGCAGGACCUGGAUUUCCUGCUUCCCACUCCUGUGCUUUAGCUACAAGUACAUUACACCUCCCACUGAAACGAAUGAGAAAUGUGUGCAUCUUUGAACUGAUCCCACUUCUACUCCAGAAAGCUUUGAACACAGAUCAGCUCCCUUGGAAAAUAACUUUUUCUCAACCAACUGGGAAAGGGAUCAAGAAAGCAAGCUGCCAAAAGCAUCAAAGCACCACCAUUUCUCCAACGUAUGCGGUAGCAACUUUAUUUAUAUUCAGAAUUAUGUUAGAGCUACCUUUUCCAGCCAGCUGCCAUGACCUUUAAAGUUUGCAAAAACAAUUAAUGCACCCAGAUACCAGAUGUGUGAAAUCAAGGCAGCAAUAAGGCAAGCACCUACAUAAUAGGCUCAAAUCAUGCUCUGAAGGUUGAUGCCCACUGGAUCCAUACAGAACAAGCACACCUCUGCUGAAAGCCCAAGUGGUUAACAUACGUAUUGGUUAGCAACCAGCAUGCAGCAGCACUCUAACCUGCUGAGCCCAGCUUACAGACAACCAAAGGUAACGAGCAAGGGUUCCCGAUUAGAGGAGCUCAUCCAGCAGAGGUGAAAUGCAGCACGGCUCUGAAAUUAAGCUCGCCUCUUCCAGAGCACUGGCGCUGCUGGGAGCGCGUGGGAGCGCGAUGAGCUGGAGGUAAGUGGGCGCAAGGCUGAGCGGGCUGGGGAAGGAGGAAGGUGAAGGCUGCAGCAGUGAAGUUCACGAUUCACGCUGUGAGUGGCUCCUCAUGCAGCUUUUGCCUUGUCUUUCUGGCAAGGAUUUAACCUGAGUAGUAAACAGAAGACUCUUUGCCCGUGUUUGUUAAAUAAACUUUGUUUUAUUCACACAAGGCAAUGCACACAUAUUGCAGACAGGAGGCCAAACGGAUAUUCCAUUAAAACACAUCCCCUCUUCUUAAUACUGCAAACUCUUUAAGAUAAUUUUCUGUAAGAACUGUGACGCGUCUAUUAACCAGUACAUAUUCACCUCAAACCCCAGGCAAAAUAGAAGUAGAACCACAACCUGCAUUCAAAAUUCAGGCAUGCUGUAUGCUGGGGUCAGUUCGCUAGCUGGCAGACGUUACAAUUCCAGUGGAGCCAGCAGAGAGAUGAAAAUCCAGAAGUGCUCAGACCCUGCCCCAUUUACAUUUCUUUUCCUUCAUUUCUCAUUUUCACUGAUUCAAAACAGUUUCAGUCAGUUUCAUGUAAAAUUUAACUGGUAAGAGCCAUAAAUUCUAAAAAGUUAUUAAUUCGACAAAUAUAUCACAGUGUUCAAUGUAAGCAAGAGUAGUGCCUAUUAUGUCUUAGAAAAGAUGCAUAGAUAAAAAUAAGAAAAAACCCUUCCUAUCAGAAAAUAAUUACUGUAAGAGAUUGCAGCUACAGCCAGGUCCUGCUCGGCACUCCUUUCUAAAGGACAGCCUUCAAAAGAGUUACUGUUCCACAAGCCUAUGGACAUCAAUGAACAAAAGCUAAAUGAACACAGAACAUUAUUUUAAGGUCUACCUGUUACAGAAACAAUUUUAAUAUUGUAAUUUUUAUACCAAAUUUAAUAGACAAUGCAUUUGUCACAUCAAGGCCAUAUGAAAUACCAACGAGUCUCAACACACACCUCUGAAUGGUGGCAUUACAGACAUGAAAUCAUUGCUUUCAGUUGACUAUAACUUAGAUGUAAUAGGUUGCCAAUUCACACUAGAAGAAAAUGUAUCUAGCAUCGAUAUUUUUAACAUCCAUGAAACAAAUAUUACAAUAAAAUUCUCAUUAUAAAGUUGCACAAACUUCUAUGUUAACUAUUAAGAGUUUAUAUGAAAAAGCAGAAGUUAUCUACCCUUGAUUCCUGUUAUAAAACAGUAGGAAUAAACCUAGUGUAGAAAUCCGAAGUUAGAUAAAUCCUUUGGCAGCAUGUUCAGUUACAAUCAGGCCUUAAAAAUAAAUAUGAUAAUGUAUAGAAGUUUGAAGAGGAAAAACAGUUCCUAUUAACACCAAAACCCUCUAAAUACACUAUUUUAAUAAUUAAAUUAUUUUACACUAUCUACAAGUUGCAUAUCACAGAAUUCAGAAUAUAAGAGAUGACAAUCACAAAUCUGGCUUUUAUAUAAAAUUUCAGGCUUUAACAGUAUGCAUAUAUGUAGUUGUGUAGAAAAUCUCAGACAAAUGAGUAUAUACAUUAUUUAUAUUCAUAAAAUAAUUAAAACUAAUCAAAUCACAUCUGUCUAGCCAUCUCCGCUUAGGAUACUCAAUAUUUCUGCUGGAUCAAAGUUUUGAAUCCAAUAAAAAUACCUACCUUUAUCUCAUUUACUAAUAAACAUGGAAAAAUCUAUAUAAAUGACAGCAAGGUCUAGUUUGAUUAUAAACCAGUUUGGAACGAAACAAACUCUUACAAAAAAUCUCAAAACAAUAAGAAUUUUGAACAGCAGCAUUGAAAUUAAUUAUUCCUCUUAACACAAGGAAAAAGUUAUUGGAAUACUUCAGUAUUGCAACGUGUUACUUGUACUAAACUACUUCAGAGGGAAGGAUACAAAAAAUUAAAGUCAUUUCAAAAGGAAAGAUGAUCGAUUCUUUCUAACCGCACAGAUUUAAAUAAUGAUUUAAAGAGCAGGUACUGAAUCCCUUAUUCCAUAAGCACGAGGCUGCAAUCGAAUAAAGUCACGAUACCAAGUAAUUAAAUAAAAUGCAAAAGCAAUGGAGGUGGCACUGAGUGAACGGUGGUUUUUAUUACUCAGCAACAGUCUACAAUCUGACAGUUCUCAUUUGGUAGAAAAAUUAUACACCAAACAUACUUAUUUAGACAUUUUUGGAGUUUCAGACAUUUAACAAGAUGUUUUAUCAGUGAUUUGCUUUCAUUAUUUUCCCAAUCUAAAGAUUAUUACUCAUCGUAAAAUUGUUAAAAUAUGUAUAAAUACGACUAUGCUAAACUGAGUAGGUAAACAGGAGAACUAAGUGAUUUUUUCAGAGGCUGAAACCAUAAAAGAAAAAACAUUCCUGAAAGGUAACUCAGCUCAACUGUUCCUCCUUAAAGGAAAAAAAAAAAAGAACCUACUCAUUAAAAAGUGCAUCAGGGAAGAAAUUCUUAAGAUUUCUUGUCUUAGCCACCAAAUGCUUCACUUCCACAGUCCCAAGACAAUUCCUUUUCUAAGGACGUCUGAUAUUUUCAAUAUGCAGCCGUUCCUUGUAUUAAAUGAGGAGCACACUCACAAAGCACGCGUAGUCUGCCUAUACGUGGGCUGUUAAAUACACCUUUCCCAACUGGUUUAAGAGUUUCCCUCUGUAACCAGUGUUUAUUUAGACAUGUAAAUGGCAGCAGCAAAAGGAAAUCCUAGAGAGGCAAGAACCCCCUGGUCCCAUAAAGAUGAUUCCUGUUCCACUUGCCUCCCCAAUGGAAAUGGAACAAAGGUGGAUUCUCAGUCUUAAGCUUCAAACAUUCUUGAGCCCCUCCUUUACCAUACAGAACUACAGUUCUCCUUCACUUCUACAUACAACAGAAAAAGGAAAAGAAAAUACAUUCUGUACAAGACCCUGGCUCAGCACCUCAUAUCCGGAGUACCCACAGUCUGCUGGGAGCAUCCCUUGCAUGUACCACCUCUGCCAAAAGCAAGUUCAAGCAACCCCCCGCAAUUUCUUUCACGAGAAACACAUCAGAGUUCUCUGUAGUUUCCCAAAAUCUAAUAGGCAGCACUGCAAAAACAUCAUUCCUCAUACUUCUGUAGGUACAUGGUCCUCUCCGUCACAGUAUCAAAUCAUUUUCUCCUCCAGCUCUCAUCUGAUUAACUCGUGCAGCUGUUCCAAUUAUCUAGUGCACACCGUGUCAUAAAGCUCACGACAGCAGCACAGAGAGAAGGAGGUGUCUAAAUCAGCAGAGAUUUUCUGAAGCUACUUGGAUAGAAAGAUUACAGUGAGACACCAGAAGAGACAAUGUGUAAUGAGAGCAACGCAUACCGCUGAGUAUGCGUCCUCAAGUUUCCAGAAACACAUU